rnacentral:rRNA from 1 species
UACGUAGGGUGCGAGCGUUAAUCGGAAUUACUGGGCGUAAAGCGUGCGUAGGCGGUUCGUUAUGUCUGCUGUGAAAUCCCCGGGCUCAACCCUGGGAAUGGCAGUGGAAACUGGCGGGCUUGAGUGUGGCAGAGGGGGGUGGAAUUCCGCGUGUAGCAGUGAAAUGCGUAGAGUAUGCGGAGGAACACCGAUGGCGAAGGCAGCCUCC